CAAUAGCGUAUAUUAAAGUUGUUGCAGUUAAAAAGCUCGUAGUUGGAUUUCUGGUGGGAGCGAUCGGUCUGGCGCUUAGCGCGAGUACUUGCAUCGUCUCCGGCCAUCCUUGGGGAGAGUCUGUCUGGCAUUAAGUUGUCGGGCAGAGGAUCCUCAUCGUUUACUGUGAAAAAAUUAGAGUGUUCAAAGCAGGCUUAUGCCGUUGAAUAUAUUAGCAUGGAAUAAUAAGAUAGGACUUUGGUACUAUUUUGUUGGUUUGCGCUCCAAAGUAAUGAUUAAUAGGGACAGUUGGGGGUAUUCGUAUUCCGUUGUCAGAGGUGAAAUUCUUGGAUUUACGGAAGACGAACUACUGCGAAAGCAUUUACCAAGGAUGUUUUCAUUAA
rnacentral:rRNA from 1 species